AAUUGCAUAUAGUAACAUGCAAAAGAAAGAAAUCACUUCAAGAUGAAAUUGAUCAGCAGAAGGGAAGUAGAACAUAAAGAUUUAGAACACUCUCAGGCUAGAAUCAUGCAAUUGUGACUUUACUGGCCUUAAGUCUCAGGAGGCCCUGUCCUCAUGGCAGUUCUCUGCUGGGACUGCAAUCCAAUGGCUCUCAGAAGCUUCGUCUUUUGAAAUCAUUUCUCAGUACAGGAAAACAAAAAAUGAGGCAUUUAUGCUACCUUCUUGAAUAAAAUGAAAACUACAAAGUAUGGUUGGAAUUUGAAAAAUUGCAAGAAUUUCCACUUGGGCUUGGCUUAAUGAACUAAGAAACAAUCAGGGCAAAGAUACCUUCGUGAUUAGGCUAAGAAUAAGUGAACACAGAUCCCACUGUCUCCACGGUGGAAUGGUACCCAAGACUAUAUGGUCACUGGCUGGCCACAGGGAGGAGCUUCAAAGCUCAGAAGAAUCUGGCCAUGGCUUACUAAAGUUUCCACCAAAUGGUAGAUUUCCAGGAAUUAAUAAUUACCUUAUUUUAGUUUUCAUUUGAUUAAUUUCCUAUAUACCUGCUUUUGUUUUUUGUAUGCUCCACUAAUUGUAUGAAUUCUAUCUAAUAUUUUUCAGUAAUCGAAUAUUUCAGAUACUCUAUCAAUAACAUGUCCUUUCUCUGGAGCCUGCCUUCUCUCCAACUUGUACUGAAGCUCUUUGGGCUCCUGCAUGGCUUUCCUGCUGGUACUGCAUUUACUGAUAUCUCAAAUAUCCCUCUUUUGUGGUCUCCAAAUCUCCAUUUGUUCUUGCUUUCAUCCUCAUUUUUCUGGAACCCUUACUCUUAAUGUUUCCUAAGAGAAGAUGCAUUGAAAAUUUAAUAUUUUUACAUUUUCCUUGCCUGAAUAUGGCAUGAGCUUUAAUUAGUGCACUUGUUUAAUCGUUUGGUUAGAUUGGGAAUUUCAGCCUGAAAGUCAUCGUCUUCAGACUUUUGAAGGCAUUAUCCAUUGCCUUCUUGAUCUCAAAGUUCCUGCCGUCCAAAGCUGUUAUGAUUCUGACAUUGAGAGGAACAUCUGUAUGUAAAUAUCUCACCAGCUUUUAUACUUGAAAACAUUGGACAUACAAAUUGUGUAUUCAUCCAUUUGGAGAAGAUAAUGGAAACCAUGGAAGUAUGGAGUGAUGAAGUGUAAAACAGAGAACUAAUUUUAAUAGGAUUCCCAAAGAUAUGAUCAAGGGUGUUUGAUGACUGAAAGAGAAAGAGAAGAAAAGCGGAAGAACCAGGUUAUUGAGUGUCAAAAAGACAAAAAGGGAAAAGUUUCAAGAAAAAUGUGGUUAACAGAGUUAUUAAAUGGAUAUUUAAUAUAUUUAAUCAGUAACGUAUUAACCAAAAUAUUGUGUGAUAAUAGUGUGAGCUUAGAAUUUGGUGUAAAGAAUCUGAAACAUCUCUGUACCAGGUCUCAAAAGAAGUGGAUUCCAGCCACUAAAUUUCUGGCUGUUCUUGGGUGAAUCAUAAAUCUCUGCUGCUUAUCUACAACCUGAGAAGGUGGGACUUAAUAACUUUAAGUGUCUUUUUGACUUUUAAUGUUAUAUGGCUUGCACUUUACACACUUUGAUGUACAUUCAAAGGCAGGAUCACAUUUGAGCCUUGAAAGAGUCCUGUGAGGAAAGUAGGACAGAGAUUUUCUCAUAUUCUCUGUCUUCUCUUUUAAUAAUUUUGUAGAUUACAAAACAGACAGAGUCAGAUUGAAAAACAGAGCCAGAUUUAGAACCCAGGGGUCUCAUCCAGGUGGGUCAUAGUUCAUAUGAAGUAUCUGAUAUCAUAUUAGUACUCAUUUGAAGCAAAUGCAUCAAUGUUUUUGCCAAAGUCUAAAUAUAUAUCCAUUGAUUCUUGUGAUUUCCCCAGACCAGGAAGAACUUCUUAAUGGAUCGUAAACUGAUGUGAAUUUUUAAGCUCCAUCUUCUGGUUUUAUAGUCAAAUGAUGGCUAUGAUUGAUAGAGUACUUAAGUGAAAGGCAGAAUCAGUUUGUUUGAAGCUGCUCAGUUUUCAAUUGUUGUUGCUCCUUCUCUUUCAUUAUGAGUUAUUAGUUUAGCCUUAUCAAUAUCAAUUUAGUUUGCUGUGGUUUUGGUCAAUCCUAGAGAACACAAUAAUGCAUUAUACUUGCAUCCAAAGUACUUUUGCCUAUAAUUUUCUGAUAAGUAAAUGUUAAAAAGGAUUUACAGUAUAGAUCAAAUGUGAAUCAUAUAUAGGCUUAUUGUAAAAGCUGAUUACAUAGAAUGUUGCCUCAUUUAUUUUUAAUAAUAAUAUUACUGUUUUCUUAGAUAAUGGAGCAACUGAUCAUUUUCAUCACUGACUUGCAUUCCAUUCCACUUUACCUUGAAUAUUUUCUUGCAAAAUAGAACACAAAACAAUCUGUUACAUUCUUUAAGGUCCAGAGUACUUCCAGGAACUCCAGUUGGCCUUGUAUUUUGCUUACAACUCAGUGCAGAAAUGUGUUGGGAAAUAUGAUGUCAUACAAACUGAGUUGUUACAGGACUUUAGAUAGAAGACCACCUAUUCUUUUAUGUUAGACUAAACCAUUUGUACUGAAAACAAUAAAAAUCUAAUAAAUGACCAAUAGUCUUUUUUAGGCAACUCAUUCAAAUAUUUUAUUUUUUUGUUUAGUGAUUUGAUCUACUAGUGUCUAAUGUGAGCUUAUAGGAUAAGCAGCACAUGACAGGACCAGAUAAUGAAGUGGAAUCAAUUGCUCGGGCAGCUCUCUUGAUGGUUAUAUUCCAAUUCUCAUUACAUCCAAAUGUGAAAUGUCAACAACCCAUUGCUACAUUUGCCUUCAUAGUAAAAUCCUUGUUCUAGCCCAAGGCAGACAACUCCAUUUGUUUAUAGGUUCAAUUAACCUAUUAUAAUUUGUCAGAUUCUUUCUAAAGCUACCUUAUUGGGAAAUGACAAAAAUAUGCAGAAUUAUGGAGAAAUACACUGGAAAACCAACUUUCUGUCUGGCCCCGAAAUAUCUAGGAAUGCCUGUGUCCUAUAUUCAGAAUGAAUUUUUACUAUAAUUAAAAGUUUAUUCUUCUUACUCUCUUCCUACUUCCAACAUGAAAAGAAAGCGUAAUGACCUCGUAGGCUUAAUAUAAUCUUACUUCAUAGGAUGGCAUGUUAUACUAUAAAAGUUCAUGGAAGAAUGAGUGUUUUUUCAUUUUUCUGUAACAAGAGAUGUGGGUUGCUCUAUUUUAGUAACUGGUUUGUGGGUUAGAUAUUUCUGCCAUUUUUUUUUUUUGGUCCUAUCAGUUAUAGAAUAUGGAGGAGUCCCAUAUCUUGAGACAGUUUAUAUAACAAAGUGUACAUGUUUAUUGACCAUUAUCCAUGAUAUAGAUCUCUAGAUCAAAGAGAAGUUCAGUCUGCAGAUAAGCACCAAAUUUUACAUACAUCAUCUUACAUACUAAGCAAAUAAUUUAUUCAUCAUUUCAGAAAUUGGUUACAAGUUUUCAUGUCUUUCACACAGUCCACCUGAAAUAGGUCUCUGUAUUUAAUAUUUUUCAGUUGAGUUUGGUUUUAAUUUAUAAGGAUCUUUGAAGUUCAAGAAUCACAGUCUUUCAUUUCUCUAGUUUAGCUCACAGAGAGGUAAUGGAUGCAUUUAUUUCCAAGAUCUUUGACUUGCUGAGUUUUUUUGUCAUUGUAUAAAUUGUGUUUGUCACUGCAUAAAUGUGGGGUUAUAUCUUUCGAUCAUUUUCCAGGCUCCAUUUAGACACAACUCCCAUCCUUGUUUAAAAUAAUUAGUAUGAUUGCAUUAGAUAUCUGUUAUAAUAAAUUAGUAUUAGUAUUGAUGUUUCAUUAUAUAAAACGUUUCUACCAAAGAUAUUUAUCAUAAACUGCCAUUCAGUUUUCAGACUCUAAAAUAACUCACUUACGUGCUUUUAUUGAUUCAAGGAGGUAAAUGUAACAUAUUUCAACCUCAGCAAUACCUUAAAUUUUUGAGAGUUUUACAGUUUAUACAGUUUAUAAGGUGUUUUUAUGUGAAUCAACUUACCAGAUUGAUGCUGACAUACCUCACACAUUUAGUGAAUGUGGAAUUCCUUUUAAUGGAAAGGUUGAAAAUAGGGUAUGAAGUUGAAUUCAGAAACUAAGAAGAAAAAUGUUAGCAGGAGCUCUUCUAGAAUUCAUGCAGAGUCAGCUACACUUGAAGACACAAAGAAAGCAAGAAGGACCAAGUCUAUAUAGGAACUAACAGGAGAACCGGAAUUUACACUGUACUCUGAGGGCCAAGAUUAAAACAUUCAAAGGAACAAGGCUGGCUCUCCUACUCAUUAGCCACACAUUAACUACUCAUUAGCCUGCGGACUGUUGACUUUAACUGCUGGAUCCUUAGUUUCAUCAUUUACAAAAUGUCAAUGAACACAGUUGUGCCCAUCUCCACAGAAUUGCUGUCAGUGUGCUUUGGGGGUGUGUAAUUAAAAAAAAAAUAUUUCAA